UUACAAAAAUUAUCAAUGAUUGUCUUGAUGAUGAUUAUGAUGAAGAUGGAAAUGAAAAUGAUAUAUAUUUUCUUGGUAAGUAUGAUUGUAUGGAUGAUCAUGAAGAAGAGCAUUUAUUUGAUAUUGUGCCAACACUCUAUCAAACCUCAAUUUACAAAUAAAAGAUGGCAAGCUUUUGCCACUCUUCUAACACUUUAAUAGCAUACAGGAAUCCUACAUGCAUCUUUCAUUGCUGAUCCUCCAAUUUCACAUCAGCAAGAACUUUACCCACAUUGUACUGCGCUCAACCCAGGUGAGGUUAAUUAUGGGUACCUGGUAGGAAUUUAUUCCUUGAAAUGCUGAAUC